UAGCAAUACGAUGGAAAGUUUAGUGGCGAACGGGUGCUUAACACGUGGGCAACCUGCCAGGAAGUGGGGGAUAGCUCGCCGAAAGGCGAAUUAAUACCGCAUGUGAUUAGAGAGGACAUCCUUUCGAAAUUAAAGUCGGGGCAACCUGACGCUUCUUGUGGGGCCCGCGGCCUAUCAGCUAGUUGGUGGGGUAAUGGCUCACCAAGGCUUUGACGGGUAGCUGGUCUGAGAGGACGACCAGCCACACUGGGACUGAGACACGGCCCAGACACCUACGGGUGGCAGCAGUCGAGAAUUUUUGACAAUGGGGGAAACCCUGAUCGAGCGACGCCGCGUGGAGGAUGAAGGUCUUCGGAUUGUAAACUCCUGUCAUUGGGGAACAAUGCACAGAUAUUAACUGUAUUUGUGUUGAUAGUACCCGAAGAGGAAGAGACGGCUAACUCUGUGCCAGCAGCCGCGGUAAUACAGAGGUCUCAAGCGUUGUUCGGAUUCAUUGGGCGUAAAGGGUGCGUAGGCGGCGCGGUAAGUCGGGUGUGAAAUCUUGGAGCUUAACUCCGAAACUGCAUUCGAUACUGCCGUGCUUGAGGACUGGAGAGGAGACUGGAAUUCUCGGUGUAGCA
rnacentral:rRNA from 1 species